rnacentral:rRNA from 1 species
CCUACGGGAGGCAGCAGUGGGGAAUAUUGCACAAUGGGGGAAACCCUGAUGCAGCCACGCCGCGUGAGUGAAGAAGUCUUUCCGUAUGUAAAGCUCUAUCUGCAGGGACGUGACAAGGGGGUCCCUGACCAAGAAGCCCCGGCUAAAUACGUGCAAGGAGCCGCGGUAAUACGUAGGGGGCGCGCGUUAUCCGGAAUCAAUGGGUGUAAAGGGAGCGUAGACGGGUGUGCAAGCCUGAAGUGAAAGGCCGGGGCCCAACCCAUGGACUGCAGUGGAAACUGUACGGCUGGAGUGCAGGGGAGGUAAGUGGAAUUCAUGGUGUAGCGGUGAAAUGCUUAGAUAUUAGGAGGAACACCGGUGGCGAAGGCGGGUUACCGGACUGUAACUGACGUUGAGGCUCGAAAGCGUGGGGAGCAAACAGGAUUAGAUACCCGAGUAGUC